AUGUUUAAAUUAGGGAGAGAAAAUAUGCUGACGCAACAGGCCAUGGGUUGGAACAGAAAAAAGACAGAGAACCUCCACAAAGCUUUGGCCCAGAGAUACGUCACAAUCUCAGAGAGGGCAAAACUGGAAGCUGCCAGCCUCAGUGACUUUCAGCAAAAGCAAAACCUCACUCAGCAAACAAUAGAGCAGUGGGUGUUUGAUGUCCAGCAAUGGGCAGUCACAGAUCGAGUCUACACACAAGGGUGUACAGAGGACCUCAGGGCAGAAAUAGAGACCAUCACAGUAACCCUCCUACGCAAGAAGCAGGACCUCUAUCGUCAGCAUGAUAGCAACCAGACAAGACACAGCAAGCGAAGAAAACUUAGAGAUUUAAAAAAAAAACUAAGAGAAAAGGUCUUGCAGUACAACGCAUCUGAAGAAGAUGAAAUUGAUGAGGACUUGGCCUGCAAUUUGACGGAGGGCUACAUCCUGCCAUGGGAGAGAAGUGAAGAUGGCCACUCAUUCAGAUUGAAAAGGUCACUCUUUGACCGAAUUAUGCUACUUAAACGGUAUGAGGAGGAGCAGAGCAUCCUCAUCAAAGAAAUGACACAGCACAUCAUGUCAUUAAGGAAGAAGAUAAAGGGAGUGGAGAAACUCAAAGACAACAUUGGGAUGUUCGAUUUUGGUGACAUGUCAGAGGACGCUGCAAAAGGUUUCGAAAGUGUCCUCAUGCGGAGGUCCACCGAACUGGAGAAUUCAUGCCAACAAGCUGUGAGCUCAUACAGUGCUAUAGUUGAUGAGUUAGAGAUUGAAGACACCGAACAAAGGGUGGAUUCUGAGGGUGAAAAUGGCUUCAGUAGUCCGGAGUCAGAGGAAGAGGAUUAGGAAGGAAAAUAUCAGGGGGGUUUAUUUUUGCUUUCUGUUAACUUUGUUCUACUUAUAUUUUCCCUCUGUAUUGUAUCCCUAUGUAUUGUUCCCUUAAAUUAGAAAAUAAUAAAUUUUAGCAUAUUCACAGUACCCUGAACUAAGAGCCCAACUUGUUAAUUAAUCAUAAUCAAAGUAGGGUAUAUUUGUUGCUAUAUUUGUUGGCACUCUACGGCUGACUGAAUGUUCAUGCAUUGGUAAUCUAUAAUAAGUAACAAUAAAUACAAUGCCCUUCUUUGAGCUAAUGACUCCAUACUCACUUUUCACUUUGACAAGACUGAUUAAGUGCUGUAAACUAUACUGUUUUCAGUCUGUGACAAGGUAGAUAAGGC
ensembl:lncRNA